CCUACGGGAGGCAGCAGUGAGGAAUCUUCCGCAAUGGGCGAAAGCCUGACGGAGCAAUGCCGCGUGGGGGAUGAAGGCCUUCGGGUUGUAAACCCCUUUCGGCAGGGACGAAGCCGCAAGGUGACGGUACCUGCAGAAGAAGCCCCGGCCAACUACGUGCCAGCAGCCGCGGUAAAACGUAGGGGGCAAGCGUUGCUCGGAAUCACUGGGCGUAAAGAGCACGUAGGCGGUCCGGUAAGUUGCACGUGAAAGCCCCAAGCUUAACUGGGGAAGGGCGUGCAAAACUGCUGGACUAGAGUCUAGCAGGGGGAAGUGGAAUUCCCGGUGUAGCGGUGAAAUGCGCAGAUAUCGGGAAGAACACCAGUGGCGAAGGCGGCUUCCUGGGCUACGACUGACGCUGAGGUGCGAAAGCUAGGGGAGCGAACAGGAUUAGAUACCCGGGUAGU
rnacentral:rRNA from 1 species